UCCCUGUCCAUCACCAACUCCUGGAGCUUGCUCAAACUCAUGUCCAUCGAAUCAAUGAUACCUUGUUGUUAUUUAAUCCUUAGUGCAGAGUUUAAGCUGAGGUACUUUGUUGUGUGAUCAUCAGCUCUGGGCUUAAAGAAAAAAAUGU